rnacentral:lncRNA from 1 species
CUCAUUUCAGUGUCUGGCUGGAGUUCAGGUACGGGCUUCCCGCCCUGCUCAGCGGCUUCCUGGGCCCUGCCCACCCCAGGACACUCAGCUGUGAAAGACAACGAGUUAUACAGAGUGUGCACUCUUACGUUCAGUCAGCGAGAAGACAAGUGAGGAGCACUUCUGUCACCAAGGGAGGAGAGAGAAGACCCUGAAGAAGGAGAUGAGAACACUGAGGCACAGAGAAAUCAGGAGACCUGGUGGAGAGCUGGAAAGGCUGGACGUCGCUACCUAGAGAGAAUCUGUCCAUGGCAGAGUUUUUAAAAAUUCCAAGAAGGAGACCAAGUGCCCACAGGUUAUUUAAAUCCUUGGAUUUGAGUCCCUAGACUCAACUGUAUCAU